GUACUAACGGUGUUAAGUCAACCAUUAAAGUACUAAUUUAUCCUUUGCUGGAAACUUCAUUUUUAUUCUUGUAUUUUUAUCAUUUACGGUUUUGCCCUCCGUUCUAAAUUACAUCAAUAUAUAUACAUCAACGGAAGCACUAUUAAGAAUACAAUGAUAAAAAUGAAAUUUCCGAUAAAGGGUAAAAUGGUACUUUAAUGACUAACUUAACACCGUUAGUAUACUCCAUCCUAAAGAGGUUGAGUUCAAAAAAACAAGGGUAAAAAUAAAAACCCUAAAAAGAAGGGGUAAAAUCAAUAUUAGAGAUUGAAACAAGGGGAAGAACGAAAUUGCCCCAUAUAUGUAUGUAUAACAAAGUUAAAUUUGAAUGGUGUUACAUUGCCUUUGUCCAGUAGGUAUGUACAUACUAGAAAUGCGCACACUAACACAAAUAUCAAUACAGUGUAAAUGCAUUGAACACCUAGGAGAAAAUAAUCAUUGUUAAUAUAAAGAUGUAGAAAUAAAUAUUGAAUCUCAUACCGUAGAUUAUGAGAGUACCUAGACAUCUGGUAUCAUUAUGAAAAACAUAUAUCUUGAGCUACAAGACAGGAACCUAGGGAAGGGGAUGUAUUCCUCCCACCUUUGAUAAUCUCUACACUUAAAAGCUUAUCCGUUUUCUUGUGUUGUUUUGUCACAUGUUUCAGCUUGCUAGGCAAGGGAAUCCAUAGUAGCUCUCAUGAUGUAUUCAUCAGCCUAGCUGCAGAGUUCAACAUUAGUCGUAUAUUUGGAGGUCUGCAACCAUAAGAACAUAUAGUGUGGUUUUUAUGCAGUGGGAUAAUGCAAAUUGAUUUAUUUCUAAUGUUUGAUACAUUUUUUGCUUGGAAGUUAGGAAGAGGAAUUAGGUAUGCCUUCGCAUUUGUGCCUUGUCAUAGUUGUGUUUAAUCCUAACUUGAAGUUAGUUUGCCCAUUUGCUUUAGAAAUUCACAACCAAGUAGCCUGUUACUUGCAUAUUGUUCAAACUAAUUUUUUUCUUUUUAAGCUAAUUGUGAUGAACAUUUUCUUUCUUUUAUAUUUCUUAUAACACAGCGUGGAUUCAAUUGGAGCUUACAACAAGUACAUGAGCUGCCAACAUAAAGUUGCACUAGGAGAUCCUGCACCAAACAUCCCCUAAAUACAAACUAGUGGGAUGGAGAGAAGAUGGUACAUGCUCCACAUUCUGAUGUGAGAGGAAGCAUCAAGCCGGAGCUCAAGCGUUGUUACAGAUUAUGUUGGUUGUCUCAGGAAAUAUCAAAUACCACCAAAGGUCUCAUACUGUAUGAUGAAUGAUGCCCUUACUGCACAUAUGCUCAUUCCAUUUUGAACAAAAAGGAAUGGCACCUAUCUGAUUCUUUUCCCUUUUCAGCACAUCUCUCUCUCUCUCUCUUUAAUUUUACUGUACCCCCUAAACAUAGAGGGAGCAAAUAUUUCUGUGCAUUCAACUAGCAAUAGUACUAAAUCAGUCACAGAUGGAGCUUAACCAGUGGAGUUAAAUGUUUAUGAUUAUUGAAGGGCUUGGUGUGGCUUUCUCAAUGAAUAAUGUGGACAAGAGCUGUUACCGAAUCAUCAGUGGCAACUGCGCUUUUCUAAAAAUGGCCCCUUUAUCUUGGCACUAGGAGUAUGAUACUAAAGAAAUAUGAUGGAAGGUAGGUAGAAUUAUCCUUAUUUCCAAUUAUUUGUCAAGUAUUAUAGUAAUCAAGAACUCUUUUGUUGCCAUGAGGAAUACCGUUAUGUUUGUUCUGAUUCUUUGUAUGUUGUAUACACAGUUUCAUCCCAUUCUCUGAACUAUUAAUCAACCGAUAUUUUUGCAGGUUGUGAAUUGCAAAGCCACUCUUUCAGCCUUUAUCCUCUCAAUACACUUUCAUUCCAUAUCUUUACGAUUUGUCGUGUCUCUUGGCAACUUAGAAAUUAGUAUGGCAUACAAUCAUUCUCUUUUGAUGAAAUUCUUAUUCUUUAGGAAAAUUGUGUAGGUCACCUUAUUUUGAGCUUUCAAUUACUAUUUGCCGGUGCAUUCCCUUCGCUAAUGUCUUAUGUUUGCUAGUCAAAACACAUCUUUUCUGAGGUAUGUAGUUGUGUUUACUGAUCCAAAUGUGAAUUCAGUUUGUCUAGGUCAGAUUUAAUAAAUUCUACAUUUUAAUCGUAGUUUCUUACAAUAGAGAUCCAUCAAUCUUUUUACCCUGCCCUAUAUAAACUUUUGAGUAAAUGCAAUAAAGUUCCAAUUGAAAUGACCACUCAAGAGGUUAUAAUGGUCAUAUUUUACAUGGUUAAUGUGGGAGCAAGAUGGAUAAACAACUACCUGACAUUAUUGUAUUAUAGAACAGUGAUAAUUCUUAUUUCCGAAAACUACAUCACUCGUGUCGUACUCGUGCUCUGCUCCAUAUAUGAUGGCAAGACUCUUGUCAUUCCUAUACCUGUUGUAGCUUGGCAUGCAUGUAAGUUUUGGAAAAUCUAUUAACGUUAGUUGAUAUUGUUUGACAUAACAUAUUUAGCUUUCUAUGUCUGAGGAACUUGCUGCUCUUGAUCAUACAUGCACUUGGGAUAAUGUUCCAUUACCACCACAUUCAAUACCUAUACAUGCAAUUGGGUAUUCAAAACUAAGACCAAGUCAGAUGGACCCAUUAAGAGAUAUAAAGCUCGUCUUGUAGCUAGAGAGAUUUUUUAGCAAACUCAGGGAUGCGAUUAUGAUAAAACUUUUGCUCUAGUUGCUCAUAUGACUACCGUGUGUUCUCUGACUACAGUGGCUGCUACAUCUUCUUGGACUAUAUCUCAAAUGGAUGCUAAAAAUGCUUUCCUUCAUGGGGAUUUGCAUGAGGAAGUUUAUAUGCAGCCACCUCAAGGUGUUGAUGUCCCUUCAGGACAUGUUUGUCGACUUCGACAUGCUUUAUAUGGUCUUAAGCAAGCCCCACGUGCCUGAUUUGAGCAUUUUCACACCUAGUGACCAUGAUCCUGCUUUGUUUAUUCAUCUCUCUAUGUGGAUGUACUUUGCUGCUUUUAUAUGUUGAUGAUAUGUUGAUUACAGGAGAUGGCAGAUCACAUUUCUCAUGUGAAAAAGCAUCUUGGUGAGCAAUUUCAAAUGUCUGAACUGGAUCCUCUCAGUUAUUUCUUAGAAAUUGAGGUCCUGCACUCUCGAAAGGGGUCACUGUAUUCUUCUUGGUUCUUCACCUAUUACGUGGGACGUCCAAGAAGCAGGCAACUAUAUAUCGGCCUAGUACAGAGGCUGAACUUCGAGCACUUGCCACUACCACAUCAGAGAUUGUCUGGCUUCGAUGGUUGCUGGCUGACUCCGAUGUUUCCUAUGAUGCCUUCAUACCUCUUCCAUGUGAUAACACUGGAUCCAUACAAAUAGCUACUGAUCCUGUGAAGCUUGAGCUUACCAAGCAUAUUGGUGUUGAUGCUUUCUUUACUCGGGCUCAUUGUCAUCAGAAAACUAUUGCUCUUAAGUAUGUGCCCUCAGAGCUGCAGUUGGUAGAUUUUUUUCACUAAAGCACAAACUCGAGAGCAGUAUCGGUUUCAUUUGCUCAAACUCGGAGCUAUAGAUCCACCGCUUCCACCUUGAGUUUGAAGGGGGGUGUUAAGUGUAUAAAGGCACAUCUCCUAUCCCACAUGGCCCAUGAGCCUCUCUAUUUAUUGUUGUCCCCACUAAUGGAGUGAUUGCCUUCUCAAAUCCCUAAAGUUAGUAACAAUUCUAACCUGUCCAAACUACCUAUUAGUCUUAUAAAUUUAUGUUUUGUUGAGAUCUAUUAUUUUGAAAGCAUGAAUGAAAAUUUAGUAGUGAUAGGUGAUGGGUUGAUGUUGGAAGAAGCAAACGACGUAUUUAGACUAUGUUUGUGACUUUGUGAAUUAGUCAAAUCACUCUUGUUAUUCAGCAUGUACUAUUUUUCGUGAGAGUUUGAUGAGACUUAUUACUUUGAGCAACUCACCUCAUGGGAAUUAUGAUACAAAGAGAAGGGUAGAUGCUCUACAUUAAGAUUUGAAAAAAGGUAUCACGAAUAGUUUAUAAUCAACUUUGGUUCUCUUCUCUUAAGGUUGCUAGAAG